rnacentral:rRNA from 1 species
UACGAAGGACCCGAGCGUUAUCCGGAUUUAUUGGGUUUAAAGGGUGCGUAGGCGGACUAAUAAGUCAGUGGUGAAAGCCCAUCGCUUAACGGUGGAAUUGCCAUUGAUACUGUUAGUCUUGAGUAUGGUUGAGGUGGGCGGAAUGUGUCAUGUAGCGGUGAAAUGCUUAGAUAUGACCCAGAACACCAAUUGCGAAGGCAGCUCGCUAAGCCAUAACUGACGCUGAGGCACGAAAGCGUGGGGAGCAAACAGG